rnacentral:rRNA from 1 species
UACGUAGGGGGCAAGCGUUGUCCGGAUUUAUUGGGCGUAAAGAGCGCGUAGGCGGCCGUACAGGUCAGCUGUGAAAACUCGAGGCUCAACCUCGAGACGUCGGUUGAAACCGUACGGCUAGAGUCCGGAAGAGGAGAGUGGAAUUCCCGGUGUAGCGGUGAAAUGCGCAGAUAUCAGGAGGAACACCGGUGGCGAAGGCGGGUCUCUGGGCCGAUACUGACGCUGGAGGAGCGAAAGCGUGGGGAGCGAACAGG